rnacentral:rRNA from 1 species
AACCGCGGUUAUACGAACGGCCCAAGUUAAUAGACAUCGGCGCAAAGCGUGGUUAAGAAAAACUCCUAAAACUAAAGUCGAAUGCUUUCACGACCGUAAUACGUCCCUGAAAGUAAGAAGCCCCACCACGAAAGUGGCUUUACAACUCUGACUCCACGAAAGGUGGGAAA